rnacentral:rRNA from 1 species
UACGUAGGGUGCGAGCGUUGUCCGGAAUUACUGGGCGUAAAGCGUGCGCAGGCGGUUUUGUAAGCCAGAUGUGAAAUCCCCGGGCUUAACCUGGGAACUGCAUUUGGGACUGCAAGGCUUGAGUGCGGCAGAGGAGACUGGAAUUCCUGGUGUAGCAGUGAAAUGCGUAGAUAUCAGGAGGAAUACCGAUGGCGAAGGCAGGUCUCUGGGCUGACACUGACGCUCAUGCACGAAAGCGUGGGGAGCAAACAGG